rnacentral:rRNA from 1 species
AACGAACGCUGGCGGCAGGCCUAACACAUGCAAGUCGAGCGAGGACUUCGGUCCUAGCGGCGGACGGGUGAGUAACGCGUGGGAACGUGCCCUUUGGUUCGGAAUAGCCCCGGGAAACUGGGAGUAAUACCGGAUAAGCCCUACGGGGGAAAGAUUUAUCGCCAAAGGAUCGGCCCGCGUUGGAUUAGGUAGUUGGUGGGGUAAUGGCCUACCAAGCCGACGAUCCAUAGCUGGUUUGAGAGGAUGAUCAGCCACACUGGGACUGAGACACGGCCCAGACUCCUACGGGAGGCAGCAGUGGGGAAUCUUAGACAAUGGGGGAAACCCUGAUCUAGCCAUGCCGCGUGAGCGAUGAAGGCCUUAGGGUUGUAAAGCUCUUUCAGUGGGGAAGAUAAUGACUGUACCCACAGAAGAAGCCCCGGCUAACUCCGUGCCAGCCGCCGCAGUAAAAC